CAGGGAUUGCCUUAGUAACGGCGAGUGAAGCGGCAAAAGCUCAAAUUUGAAAUCUGGCACCUUCGGUGUCCGAGUUGUAAUUUGAAGAAGGUAACUUUGGAAUUGGCUCUUGUCUAUGUUCCUUGGAACAGGACGUCACAGAGGAGUGAGAAUCCCGUGCGAUGAGAUGCCCAAUUCUAUGUAAAGUGCUUUCGAAGAGUCGAGUUGUUUGGGAAUGCAGCUCUAAGUGGGUGGUAAAUUCCAUCUAAAGCUAAAUAUUGGCGAGAGACCGAUAGCGAACAAGUACAGUGAUGGAAAGAUGAAAAGAACUUUGAAAAGAGAGU
rnacentral:rRNA from 1 species